CAUUUAUACAAGAUUCUUUUUUUCUUUUUUCUUUUUUUUGAGAAAUAGGUAGCACGCUAUUCGUUUCGUUUAUUUCAUUUAGAAAUAAAUUUAGCUGGAAAUGUGAAUCAACUAGGAUUCAAAUUUAGGUCACGGGUACCAACCACCCAGCCCUUUUGCCACUUACUUUAGAGACGGUCGGUACAUUCAUACAAAUUCUGAUAUCAAAU
rnacentral:lncRNA from 1 species